rnacentral:rRNA from 1 species
CGCCCGCUCAGAAACUCAAAGGAAGUUGACGGGGACCCGCACAAGCGGUGGAUGAUGUGGAUUAAUCGAUGCAACGCGAAAACCUUACCUACCUUGACAUGCCAGGAAUCCUGCAGAGAUGUGGGAGUGCUCGAAAGAGAACCUGGACACAGGUGCUGCAUGGCUGUCGUCAGCUCGUGUCGUGAGAUGUUGGGUUAAGUCCCGCAACGAGCGCAACCCUUGUCAUUAGUUGCCAUCAUUAAGUUGGGCACUCUAAUGAGACUGCCGGUGACAAACCGGAGGAAGGUGGGGAUGACGUCAAGUCCUCAUGGCCCUUAUGGGUAGGGCUUCACACGUCAUACAAUGGUCGGUACAAAGGGUUGCCAAGCCGCGAGGUGGAGCCAAUCCCAGAAAGCCGAUCGUAGUCCGGAUCGGAGUCUGCAACUCGACUCCGUGAAGUCGGAAUCGCUAGUAAUCGUGGAUCAGCAUGCCACGGUGAAUACGUUCCCGGGUCUU